GGUUGCUAUGGGCAACUCAGCAACUUUUCCGCUUGGCAGGUUCUGCUAAUUCUCCCCCAUUGAGUGUACAGGAAUGGAAUCAUCAUUUCAUCAUCACUCUGGCAGCGCUCCGGACCCGUCACCGCUGCCCUGGAUGUCGCCCUCCAUCGCUGUCGUGCGCCCCGGGGGUGUCCCCGUCGCUCCGGAACAUCUCUGCUGCCCGUCACUACAUCACGUCACUACACACGCCGCUCCUAUUGGAUGACGGGUCGCCAUGCGUGACGACGACGAAGGAGAGCGCCGGCCAUGCAGCGGAUCCCGGCACGGAGCAGACGCCGAGGAGACAGAUGAGACAGAAGAAAGUUGUAACCAGGCCAGGUACAUUAUACAGAAUCGUAUCAGUUGUUUUAUCAGCAGGGAAGGAGCACAGAGCUUGGGCUACUUUUACAUCUGGUUUAAAAGGUAAAUAAGGUGACUACUGAGAAGCUUGUCAAGUUGUGGGAUAUAUUACACAUUUAGCCAGUUGUAAGAAUGACUACAUUUGCAUGGCUAGACGACUGGAUCAGAGCAUCUCCAAAUACGGCUGUGGUCUCAGUAUGUCAUGGUUAUUACACAACAAAAGUGGCCCAAAGAAGGACAAUGACUGUAACCAGGAGACAGGGUCAUGGGCACACAAGGCAUGGGGAGUGAAAACUAGCUCAUCUGGUCCAAAGCCACAGAUCACCUACUGUAGCAAUAAUGGCUGAAAAGGGUUAAUGCUGGCUAUGAUAGAAAAUGUCAGCACACACAGUGCCUAACAGCCUGCUAUUAAUAGGCCUUGUAUACCCUUCAGAGUGCACAUGUAAUGUUCAGCUACAAACCUUGGGUCCUGGUCCUGUGGAUGUUACUCUAACACAUACCACUUACAGUACCUAAACAUUGUUGCUGACCAAGUUGUUUUUACCCCAGCCUGAGCACAUUUAAACAUGAAAAUAAUUUCUUGGAUACACCCUUUAACCCCAGGAAGACUGCCCUAACUAUUGAGAUGCAGAACAGGUCGCCGAUGCUUGCAGUCCAUUAAAGGUUAAAUUUGACAGCCCUGUGUGCACCUGUACCCAGAGCCCUGGGCAGGAUUGGGCUGCACUGUACUGUGAUAGGAAACUGAAAUAAAUGAGUGCUGAGCUGUUAAAUGCAGAAGCAAAGCACUGCUUCCGUAUUUGGGUGGUUGCUGGGAAAGCCUGUGAUCUAAAGAGGCUGUUACCAUUAGACCAGUUUUAUUAGUAAGAGCAUAGAACACAUAUAAAAAAAUAUAUGUUCCCUGCUACUCCAUGCCCCCGUGGAAAUAAAAAAAACUAAAGUUAAAUAAAUAAAUACAAAAGUAACAACAUUUAUCAUGGUAAUACCAUGGCCCUCCCAUGAUCAUAAUUUUACUAUAUAUUUGGAAGACAUUUACUGUAUGUUUCGAACAACCAAACUAAAGGUCCAAGAGUUAAAGUUAUCACGUAUUCACAAGAAGAGGGAAUAACUAGUUGAUUCUGGGAGGUACGACUACUGGGAACCA